rnacentral:misc_RNA from 1 species
UCAAAACAGAAUUCAAAAUGCAAGACCUGAAAAUUGUACUUCAAAUAGUACUACCAAGAGACCAAACUCCAUCCCAUACAGCUAAUCAACAACUAAAUACCAACAAAAUCACUCACCUUCCGCCUUCUGAUAGACAUAAGUCAGCCCACACUUUCCACAGUAGUGCCGAUCGAAAUGAUUCGCCAUGAACGUCCCGGCGCCGCACUCCGGAUUCGGGCACUCCUUGCGCAGCCUCACCACCUUGCCGGCAUCGUCCACCUUGUAGAACUGUAGCACGGCGAGCUUCACCUUCUUCUUCUUAUGCUUGAUCUUCUUCGGCUUGGUGUAGGUCUUCUUCUUGCGCUUCUUGGCGCCGCCGCGGAGGCGGAGGACGAGGUGGAGGGUGGACUCCUUCUGGA